CCUACGGGAGGCAGCAGUGAGGAAUAUUGGUCAAUGGACGAGAGUCUGAACCAGCCAAGUAGCGUGAAGGAUGACUGCCCUAUGGGUUGUAAACUUCUUUUAUAAAGGAAUAAAACGAGGCACGUGUGCCUUUUUGCAUGUACUUUAUGAAUAAGGAACGGCUAACUCCGUGCCAGCAGCCGCGGUAAUACGGAGGAGCCGAGCGUUAUACGGAUUUAUUGGGUUUAAAGGGAGCGUAGAUGGGUUGUUAAGUCAGUUGUGAAAGUUUGCGGCUCAACCGUAAAAUUGCAAUUGAUACUGGCAGUCGUGAGUACAGUUGAGGUAGGCGGAAUGCGUGGUGUAGCGGUGAAAUGCUUAGAUAUCACGAAGAACCCCGAUUGCGAAGGCAGCUUACUAAACUGUGACUGACAUUGAUGCUCGAAAGUGUGGGUAUCAAACAGGAUUAGAUACCCUAGUAGUC
rnacentral:rRNA from 1 species